AAAGAAUUUAAGGGAAAACAAAACAAAAAAUUACCCAUUUUCAAACUGCUUCAUUAUUUUUCCUGACUUAACUUCAGCUUUUCUAGUUCCUCUGUGAUUUCUCCUUUUCCUGUCAGCUUGUUCUUAAUUCCUGGAGAUUUUCUUCCUUCUUUUCUUUUUGCUUAGUUGUUUUCCAAGUUGUCUUAGUUACUUUAUUGCUGCUAAGACAAAAUGCCUGACAACCAUGAGUUAAAGGAGGAGAGAGGUUUACUUUGGCUCACAGUUUGUAGAUGUAGAGGUUUCAGUCCAUGGUCAACUGGCUCUGAGGAAGGGCAGCAGGGCAGAGGAGAAACAGCUCGUGGUACUGCAAGCAGGACACAGCCCAAACUUAAAUGCCCACAUUUUAUGAUUGCUUCUUUUCAGACAUUUAGGAAGUGAGAGAGAGAGAAUUUUUGUGACUGUUUUGAGUAGUUUUGAUUUCUCCCUCUCGGGCUAGAAUACUGAUCAUAGGGUUACAGCCGCUCCAGUGCCUGCCCCACUCGAGGUGGGAGUUGGGCACUGCAGGUCCUACCUGCUCCUGACUUCUCCGUAGGCUUGAGCGCCACACUGUCCUUCACAGGGCUGAAGAAGAGCUUUCUACUUGUGAUACCUGGUCUACACCUAAGCUGCCUCCACACAUGUACGGUCCUCAGGCUUCAGUUGGGCAAUGACAGUAUACUCAGGAGUAGCAGAGUUGUUUGGGAUUGCCCCAGUCAGCCCUGGGAUUACUGAAGUCCAACCACUGGUGCAGUGUAAGCUGGUGCAGACAGACAGUCCAGCUUACACUCUGCCCUUCUGUGUCUUGAAUUCCCUUUUUUUUUUUUUUUGAGGCAGGGUCUUGGUAUGUAGCCCAUGCUGGCCUUGAACUCAUGGAGAUCUUCUUGCCUCAGCCUCCAGAGGGCUGAGAUUACAGGCAUACACUACCACACCUGGUUUGAAUUCUUUUUUUUUUUUUUUUUUUUUUUUUUUCCGGGAUUGAACUCAAGACCUUAUACUUGCAAGGCAGGUGCCACAGCACCACUGAGCUAAAUUCCCUGGGCCUGGCUUAAAUGUUCUCCUCAGGCUUAUCUUGCGCAUUUCAGAGGACCCUAGUAAUCCCUACUCAGGUAGUGGAUUUUUUGUAGUUUUCAAGUGCAGUGGCAACAUUCAAACCCCCAGACAUUUUUUGUUUGUGGCUUUUUUUUUUUUUUGGUACCGGGGAUGAAUCUCCGGACCUUGUUCUUGUAAGGCAGGCGGCAGAACCACUGAGCUAAAUCCCCAGCCGUUUGUGUUUUGAUACCAGAGAUUGAACCCGAGCUUUGUUUAAGCAAAAUAAUGUGCUUGUAUACCACUGAGCCGUGUUAUCAGCCUCACUCUACCAUUUUUGUUUUUGUUUUUUUCCCCUCUCUCUCAUGGCACUGGGGAUUGAACCCAGGGCCUUCACACUAAGCUACAUCCCUAGCUCUUUUUACUUUUUAUUUUUUAAUUUUUUUUGGUACCGGGGAUCUAAUUUGGGUCUUGCGCUUGCGUAGCAGGUGGCGAAACCACUGAGCUAAAUCCCCGGCCCCUCUUUUUAUUUUUUGAGACAGGGUCUUGCUAACUUCCCUAGGCUGGGCUCAUGUUUUCAAUCUUCCUGCUCGCCCUCCCAGAGAAGGUGUUAUGGUGUGCACCACUACACCCAGCACUUUUUUUUGCAGGUUCUUACUAAGUUUGGCUCAGGCUAGCUGGCCUCAAAUUGUGAUCUUCCUGCCUCAGUCUCCCAAGUAGCUGGGAUUGCAGGCAUGUGCUGGUGUGUGCGCGCGCGUGUGUGUGUGUGUGUGUAUGUGUGUGAUUGAAUUUGUGGCUUUGCACAUACUAGGCAAGUGCUCUACCACUGAACUACCUCCCCAGCUCAGUUAACAGCCCCUAAGUUGUUAAUUGUUCUUUUCAGUGACAGAUGGCCAGGCAGUCUGGAGGUGAGUGAGUCUGUGAACAUUCUCUAUACAUUUUCCUCCCUAGGCAUCUCGCCUCAGAUGGAGGUCACCUGUGUGCCCGCCCCUACAAGCACAAUGUCCUCCAUAGGUAACACAAAUGGCGAAGAGGUGGGACCGUCUGUCUACCUGGAAAGGCUAAAAAUCCUCCGGCAGAGAUGCGGGCUGGACAACACCAAGCAAGACGACCGGCCUCCGCUGACCUCUUUGCUCUCCAAGCCCACGGUGCCCCCCGGUGGCCUCCUCCACAGACAUGCUGCACAGCAAGCUGUUCCAGCUGCGGGAGUCGCGUGAGCAGCACCAGCACUCGGAGCUGGAUUCCAACCAGACCCACUCGGCGGGCACCAUGACCUCCUCCUCCUCCUCCUCCACAACCAACAUUGACGACUUGAAAAAAAGACUGGAGAGAAUAAAGAGCAGUCGCAAAUGAAGCUGUUGUCCAGGCCCCCUGCAGCUUUAGUUUACUAAACUAGAAGCCCUCAUAGUGUGGAGCGGCCGCGCAGGCUGGGUAUGCACAAAGUGGCUGUGGUACGGCACCAGCGGAGGCAGUGGCAGUGGCGUGUCCGUCCCCAGGUCCCCGCGCCCCACAGCCGUCUGUGGAUUAGUUAGUGUACAGACUUGUAAACAGCUGCCCCUCAGCGCACACUAGUUUCCAUGGUCUUUUUCUGUUCUUUUCUUUUCGACUGCUCAUUUGUAAAAUUGUCCUAAUCUUUCCUAGCUCUUAACUGUUAGAACUCUUUAAUAGUUUUCCUUUGAGUUUGUGAUCUCUUCUCCCUGUACCCCUGAAGGGUCACUGAAUUCUGUAUGAAUGCAUGGCAUGAGACCACUAAUUUAAGAGUCUUUUAUAAAUAAAGUUUGCAUUAACUAUACCUGUCUCCCAGGGUGCUCCGUAUCCUGGAGUACUGGGCCACUCUGUCACCUGACUGGGGACCGGGACACAGCCAGUUCAAGAACGGGCAUCUGUGACGCCCUUGGAAAGGAAGGGACUCACCUCUCCUGCUUCCCACUGAGCUCUGGGGGAGCAGAGAACCCCUCCCACACACCGUCAGAGCUUCUGGUGCCGUCUUCCAUUCAGCAGCCAGGGCUGCAAGCAGCUUGUAGACGACCUUCCACCGUGCAGCUCCAGUGCCCUGAGACAGCACCCAUGGCCGGCCAGGCUGUGGUUCCCGCAGCACAUCUGCAGGUGGGGGCUCCUUCCCAGAUGGAGUCCGGAGAAGGAAGAUUUUUCCCACCUGGUUCCCUCCGUCUCUUUUGGUCUAGUAAGAGCCGCUUUGCUCUUGGUCUGCGUGAGGACUGCGGACCAAAGAUUCACCUCUGGAGUAAAAGCCGCAGGCCCUCCCUCCCGAGAGCUCCACAGCCAGGACUGCAGGCUAAGAGGUUCUGACGCCGCAGGAGUCGCAGGGGAAGCGUGACCCACACAGCACCUCCCCAGCCGGUGUCCAGGAGGACGGUGCAGAGCGGGCAGGCAUCCUCUCAGUGUCCAUCCCGGCCUCAGAGCCUGCCGCCUCUCACAGGGCACCGUGCAGUGAGUGUCCCGGCCAGGAAGGCGGUGUUUGUUGCUGUGGAAGGACCCAAGCUUGUGCACGGAGUUAGACCGCUAAGUGAAAACCGGGGCUGGCGAUGUGGAUGGGAUGCAGUCUGUGGGACGCUGGGCCUGGUUCCUAGCAGGCCUGGGCACCAAGGCUUGUUCCAGAUCCCUCCCCGUCUGCUUAAGGCUCCGUGUGGGAGUCACCACGAGCAGGCCCCACUCAACCAGAACCACGGAACAAGGACAGAGCUGAGUCCAGUCCUGCCUUCU
rnacentral:lncRNA from 1 species